rnacentral:tRNA from 1 species
GGUCCCGUAGUGUAGCGGUUAUUACGUCGCCCUGUCACGGCGAAGAUCGCGGGUUCAAUUCCCGUCGGGACCG